rnacentral:rRNA from 1 species
CCGCGACCCCAGGUCAGGCGGGACUACCCGCUGAGUUUAAGCAUAUAAAUAAGCGGAGGAGAAGAAAC